CAACUUUCUACCCCUCGUCUUUUCGUUUCACGUCACGCGACUCAUCGGAUCGUAAAAACGCUCGAGUAUAUAAUCUGAUGCUCGCGGUCGUGACUUUUACGACUUGUCCCGGAUCAGUGCGUGUGGACGAACUAACCGAACGACGGAGCAUUAAUCGGCGUUAACGAUUCGUUUUUCGCGCUGCGUACGUGCCGAUUUUCAAAUGCACGCGGUGUUUUUCUCGCGAACAGGCUGCCCCCUAGCGGCGCUGUUGUCUGACUCCCGCCUAAUUCGUGUUUGUGACAGCCAAGAUGUCGGACUGCAGCUUUGAGCACGGUGUUGUACGAGAAAGGAGGAAGAUGUGAUGAUUUCGAGCCACCUGUGGACACGAGAAUUCGAGACACACCGGUUUGCCAACGCUAUCACCGAGAGCACAACAGUGAAGACCAAUGGCUUUCGAUGAAGGAAAAUUGGAAAAGAAUCCCCAGCGUGGAGUUUCGCAAGGAAAGGGGACGGAAAGUCGAAGAAUUCGCGGGCCAGGAAUUUCCCGGCGGGAGUUCCCAGCAGCCGAGAACUUUCGUCACGCGACGGUGGAAGUUUCGACUGCAACUGGUGCACCACGGAAUAAUUGGUUCCACUCGGAGAUUCGACGGAGCGGACGCUCGAGGAUAUACGAGGAUAACAACAGUGACCAGUCACGGAGUUAGGUGGUCCGAGUAAACUACUUCUGACAAUGAACGCGUCAAGGUCCCGAAUCCACCCUCGCUGUCCCCGUAACUAAGGGUUUCCUCUACGCUGUUACAUCGGCGGAACAAUACGUCGAGUUUCCAAAUUGAUGCAGUACGGAUAUUUAUUCAAGUUUAUCGACUUCUAAUUAAAUUUCCCGAUCGGAGCGCAAGGGCGAGGGCGCGACAAGUGGGACCUCGGAAGGGCACAGAUGGAAAAGCUGCGACCACCUUACACGUCACAGGGCAGAAAAAACAUAGGGAGAACGCGCUCGAGUCAAGGGGAACGAAAAGUCUUGAACAUCUUGUCGCGGAAGAAAUUCACAGCUGGCGCCGCAUAAUUUGCAAUGAGUUCUGUUGCGAGGGUAAACGAGUCGCAGUAGAUGGCAGCAGGCGUUGAGGACUGAAGGGGCGAAAUGGGGUAAAUUUCAGCGCUGCCCUCUCGAAAUAACUCUGGGUCCCUCGCCGCGUCUUGUCCAAGCGGAGAAAUAAAGCGAUGUCACGAGGAGGGUCGAUCGAGUCCCAUUAAUGGGUGAACACUGAAAGGAUCUACGGAAUGGCUAGUCGCAACUGGGCACAGUGACCUUUGUAUCCGGGUGACGAGAAGAAUGGGCCAUGAAAGUAAGAUUUCGUCCGGAUUUGCCAGGAAAAAAGGAACGAGUGGAUUAUCAAUGACAGUAUGUUCGGAUGUAGUAACAAGGAUAAUAGUCGAAUACAAAAUUGAGGAAAUGGGCGCGUUAGAAAAAUACUUAAUCAAGUGUUUGAAACACUUAUUGAAGAUUCUUAAUAAAAGUAUUCAUUG